rnacentral:rRNA from 1 species
GACGAACGCUGGCGGCGUGCUUAACACAUGCAAGUCGAACGGAAAGGCCCUGCUUUUGUGGGGUGCUCGAGUGGCGAACGGGUGAGUAACACGUGAGUAACCUGCCCUUGACUUUGGGAUAACUUCAGGAAACUGGGGCUAAUACCGGAUAGGAGCUCCUGCUGCAUGGUGGGGGUUGGAAAGUUUCGGCGGUUGGGGAUGGACUCGCGGCUUAUCAGCUUGUUGGUGGGGUAGUGGCUUACCAAGGCUUUGACGGGUAGCCGGCCUGAGAGGGUGACCGGCCACAUUGGGACUGAGAUACGGCCCAGUCUCCUACGGGAGGCAGCAGUGGGGAAUAUUGCACAAUGGGCGGAAGCCUGAUGCAGCAACGCCGCGUGCGGGAUGACGGCCUUCGGGGUGUAAACCGCUUUCGCCUGUGACGAAGCGUGAGUGACGGUAAUGGGUAAAGAAGCACCGGCUAACUACGUG